rnacentral:tRNA from 1 species
AGGCGUGUAGCUCAGAGGGAGAGCGCUGUAGUUUUACAUUACAGAGGUCGGUGGUUCAAUCCCAUUCCACGCCAACCA